AUUGAACGCUGGCGGCAUGCCUUACACAUGCAAGUCGAACGGCAGCGGACCUUCGGGUGCCGGCGAGUGGCGAACGGGUGAGUAAUGUAUCGGAACGUACCUUUCAGUGGGGGAUAACGUAGCGAAAGUUACGCUAAUACCGCAUAUUCUGUGAGCAGGAAAGCAGGGGAUCGCAAGACCUUGCGCUGAUUGAGCGGCCGAUAUCAGAUUAGCUAGUUGGGGAGGUAAAGGCUCACCAAGGCGACGAUCUGUAGCGGGUCUGAGAGGAUGAUCCGCCACACUGGAACUGGGACACGGUCCAGGCUCCUACGGGAGGCAGCAGUGGGGAAUUUUGGACAAUGGGGGCAACCCUGAUCCAGCCAUGCCGCGUGAGUGAAGAAGGCCUUCGGGUUGUAAAGCUCUUUCAGCUGGAAAAAAAUCGCUUCACCUAAUACGUGGAGUGGAUGAUGGUACCAGCAGAAGAAGCACCGGCUAACUACGUGCCAGCCGCCGCCGUAAGAC
rnacentral:rRNA from 1 species